AGCUUUGCGCCGUGGCAGUAUCGUAGCCAAUGAGGUUAAUCCGAGGUGCGAUUAUUGCUAAACAUAAGCACUGUUGGAAGGAAUGAGUGUAAGUCAGGUGUUACACAGUCCUCCAUUUUCUUUUGUUGCAUGCUCGGCCUCUAG
rnacentral:snRNA from 14 species